CUUCUUAUCCGUCUGUCCCGGU
rnacentral:miRNA from 1 species